UGAGGAUACAGUUGAGAAGACACGAUACAACAAAGGGGAAAGACGUCAAUGAUUUUAGAUUGUCCUGUGGCCAUUGCUGAGGCUCUGUCCUCGUCAAAUUGCUUGGAGAAUGAUGGUCCUUUAGAAAAGAAAAUGUUUUCAUGAGUAGUAUAUAUUACACUCACAAAGACAGGUUUGCAGGUUCAGUUUAAAUUCUUAAUCCACAUAUAAAUUGACAUAAAACCAAGGCUUAGCAGCACAUAACAGCUGAUCACACAAUACCACCUGUGGCAUUAAACUGUAAAAAUCAUGGUCAUUAAAAUGGAAAAUG